GGAGGGUAUAGCUCAGUGGUAGAGUGUGUGCUUAGCAUGCACAAGGUUCUGGGUUCAACCCCCAGUACCUCCA
rnacentral:tRNA from 1 species